ACAUACACACAUAUAUAUAUAUACACACAUGUAUAUACAAAAUUAGCACUUCUCAUAGUAGUUGUAAUGAGUCCCUGUAUGCUUGAGAGUACGUGUGUGAGAUGUAAGAACGUUUAAAGUACGAGAUACUUUUUAUCGUUCUAUCCAUAAAUUCUAGAAAUACAUUAAUAGACACAAACACACAUACACAUUAUAUACAUACACACACACAUAUAUAUAUAUAUAUAUAUUCCGGUAGAUUUUGUUUAUUUAAAAUGAAUUGUUAUUCUGUUAAAUAAGCAAUAAAAUCACGCAAGUAUUGAGUUCGCUAACAAACUUCUUUUAAAUGUAAAUACCCUAUCUCGCUGUCCGUUGAUCUAUCAGUUUCUCUGUCCCCCUCUCUCUCUCUCUCUCGCUCUCUCUCUCUACACGCACACAUAUAUAUGUAUGUACGUAUAUAUGUAUAUCGUAUAUGCGUGUGUGCAUCUGUGCGUAUGGGUCUAACCCAUGCUAGAAUGGCGAAAGAGACGUUGAAACUAUUUUGAGUGUGACCGAUACUACAUGGGAAAUGAUUCAUUCAUUUCUCAUUUGCAUUGAAGUCAAUAUCUAGACGUUUAUUACGUGUAUAAACAAAGGUGUGUAGAAUUAUUUUUAUAUAAUGAGUGCGUGAAAGUUGAUAUUAUUCUCUGUAUGUGUGCAUGCGUAUCUGCGUGUAUAUGGAAAAGUGCUUAUAUAUAUAUAUAUAUGAAUAUAAUAUACAAUAUAUAUAUAUACAUAUAUAUAUGUAUACAUAUAUAUAUAUAUACAUAUAUAUAUAUAUAUAUAUACAUAUAUAUAUAUGUGCGUGUAAAGAUCUAUAAUUAUACGUAAGUAUGCUUGAAAAAUAUGUGUGUACGUAUAUCUUACAAUAAUUUAGAAGUUACGGCGAUAAUGAUUCGCAAAUCUACAUUCGUAUAACACUACAUUUCUGAAAUAUCGCACACAAAAAUCGAGAAAAAAGUAGAAAAAAAUUGAAAAAUGGACAGACACAUAAAAAUCGGUGUUGAAAAAAAAAAUCAUUUAAACAAAUGAAAAAGAGAAAAACUAAGUGGAAUUUAGUUUCAUAAGAAAAAAAAAAAUGUAUAUAUAUAAAGUGGCAAAAAAUUUUCAAAGCAAAAAAGAAAAAAAAUUGUAUAUAUAUAUAUAUAUAUAUGUUUAUGAAAUUAAGAAAACGUAUCUAUUUUCUUCAGUGGUCAGUCAGGAAAAUAUUAAGAAAUGUAAAAAAAUAGAUUGAAAAAAAAAGAAAAAAGAAAAGAAAAGAAAAAAAAGCCUGAAAAACAUGUAAAUGGUCAAUAAGAAAAUCUAAGAAAAACUGUGUUCGUGGUAGCAAUGUUGGUGUGCUCGUGUGAUCGCAAAAAAAAAAAAAAAUGAAAAUGAGAAAAAAAUCAACAACAAAUAACCUCCUUUUUUUUUUCCAUGUAAAGUCUACUUUUAGAAAGUAAGAGAAAAGCCCGUCUCGUUAAAGUACUAGCUUCCAUAACAGUCGCCAAUAUAUAUAUAUAUAUAUAUAUAUAUAUAUAUAUAUAGAUAGAUAAGACGCACGUGCAUGUUAUGCAUAGGUGUAUGUAGGUAUAUACAUAUAUUUUCCUCGUUUUGUCUGACUUUUUUCGCUUUUUGUAUUCACAUAUUGCCCCCUUACAAACUCUUCUGUCCGCUGUUAAACCAUGUUCUGUUACGUAAGCGAGAAAAUCCUCGCCUCAACGCAUCACCAAAACCACCACCGCCACCACCAUCAACACCAUUACCAUCAUCAACAUCAACACCAGCAUCAACAACAACAACAACAUCAACAACAACAACAACAUCAACAUCAACUACAACAACAGCAUCAGUUCAACCAUCACUUUCCACAAAAACAACAGCCCAGACAACACCAGCAACACAAACAACAACACCAACAUUACAACCACAACGACGGCGACCACCACCACCGACACCACCAGCAAGCUGUAAAAGUUAACCCGAAAGCAAAACGAGAAGAGAAAAGCAUUUUUCUACAAUAUGCCGAAUGCAAACAAUCGCAAUCAUGUUUCGCCUUCAUGGAACUUUUUAUCGUUCUCCUGUCCGAAAUACCAAACAGUUAUAGUACCCCCUCAUCACUUGCCCGUAAUAUUUGCUCAGCUAAUUGGCAAACGGGAUCAAAGCCAAUCAAAUUUCUUGUUGCAAAUUGAUUAUGAUAAUAUACGAACGUUAUUCAUAAUCAUAAUUCUGACAUGCGCACAAGGGUGCCGCAUAUAUAAAUCAGAAAUAGCAAAACGCCAACUUUUGUCAUUUGGGAGUCUACAAAUAUUCAGUAUGUCACGUCGAAAGCAGUCGCAUCCGAAACAUAUAGAAAACGAACAUCAUGUUUUCCUUGAUAAUAACGACAAAAGACUCCAAGAAAUAUCGAACAAUUUCAUUACAAGAGUUGUUUGUUGAUCCGUUAGUGUUUAAACUGGGUUGCUACCAAGACGUAUACUUCUUGUGACUACAGCUGUAUAAGGGUGUUACAGAAAGAAAAGUAGUUUAUAGUGAUUCACAUCAUUGCAGUGAUCGAAAGCACUCGCACCAAUACAUAUAUAAAUACAUAUGAAUUUACACACACGUAUAAAAUGGAAAAGCACAGUACAACAAAUAAAUCUGGAAAAUAUUUUCGCUGUCUGUGAGGUGGAAGUUUGCAAAAGGCAACACCUCAUAUUUAUCUAUAGGACGUUUUCUCUACAGCAAAUAAUUAUUUUUCUACUCUCUUUAUAUGCCUGUGAUUUUAAGAAGAAAUGCUAUUCCUUUUCUAUGUACACACACAGACACACACACACACACACACGCACAUAUAUGUGUAUAUAUAUAUAUAUAUAUAUAUAA